rnacentral:rRNA from 1 species
UUGCAGAAUUCAGUGAAUCAUCGAAUCUUUGAACGCACAUUGCGCCCCGUGGUAUUCCGCGGGGCAUGCCUGUUCGAGCGUCAUU